GCCUGAGUGGCUUAGUUGGUUAAGUGUCUGCCUUUUGCUCAGGUCAUGAUCUUGGGGUUUGCGGGUUCGAGCCCCGCAUCAGGCU
rnacentral:tRNA from 1 species